rnacentral:tRNA from 1 species
AGCUGACUUAGUUUAAAAAAAACGUUACAUUGUGGAUGUAAAGAUAAGUCUUAGUUUAGUUAGUUA